CCAAUAGCGUAUAUUAAAGUUGUUGCAGUUAAAAAGCUCGUAGUUGAAUUUCGGGAUUGACACAUCGGUCGUGCCUUAAGGGGUAUGAACUGGUGUAGUCAAUUUCUCACCUUCUGGAGAACCGCGAUGCCCUUAAUUGGGUGUCGCGGGGAACCAGGACCUUUACUUUGAAAAAAUUAGAGUGUUUAAAGCAGGCAUUUUGCUUGAAUACAUUAGCAUG
rnacentral:rRNA from 1 species